AGGCUCAUCAAUUCAUUUCGGGACCCUCCCCCCCCCCCAACUUCUAUGAAUUACCAAUUGACGGAGAUGUUGACAUUGGUUGUUUUGAACUAUGCGCAGUGAGCAACCUUUCCACCAAGUUCACAUCUUCAUAAUGUAUUGCCUAAAAU
ensembl:ncRNA C05A9.7 ncRNA